rnacentral:rRNA from 1 species
UUGGAGGGCAAGUCUGGUGCCAGCAGCCGCGGUAAUUCCAGCUCCAAUAGCGUAUAUUAAAGUUGCUGCAGUUAAAAAGCUCGUAGUUGAAUUUCGGGACCAAUAUGUCGGUCGUGCCUCGGUACGUACUGGCAUCGUUGGUUUCUCCCUUCUGACGAACCAUGAUGUCAUUCAUUUGGUGUCGUGGGGAAUCAGGACUGUUACUUUGAAAAAAUUAGAGUGUUUAAAGCAGGCUCACGCUUGAAUACAUUAGCAUGGAAUAAUGAAAUAGGACGUUUGAUUCUAUUUUGUUGGUUUCUAGGAUCGACGUAAUGAUUAAUAGGGAUAGUUGGGGGCAUUAGUAUUCAAUUGUCAGAGGUGAAAUUCUUAGAUUUAUUGAAGACUAACUACUGCGAAAGCAUUUGCCAAGGAUGUUUUCAUUAAUCAAGAACGAAAGUUAGGGGAUCGAAGACGAUCAGAUACCGUCGUAGUCUUAACCAUAAACUAUGCCGACUAGGGAUCGGAUGAUGUUAAUUUUUUAAUGACUCAUUCGGCGCCUUACGGGAAACCAAAGUGUUUGGGUUC